GUCUCGCCACUUCCUGUCUCUCUGGGGAGCACAGGGCUGAGGUGACUCACCAUGAUAACGACCAUCUCAGGCUAAACUCAGAUCCAGGUUUCCUGGAGUUUGGGGGUUGCUGGCUCAGGGUCUGGGACUCAGGCCUAUUUCUCACCCCUCCUUUCCCCAGCAGGGAGGACGGGACGUUUCGGAAGCCAGAGCCAUCGUUUGCGGAGCUGGAGAAGAGACUCAGUGAUUUCUCUCUGAAAAGUGCCAUGCUGCAGGAAGUGCUGCUAGGAUUCAAAGAGACGCUGCGACGGGAGCUGGGGAACGACACAGCCAUCCCAAUGAUUUUUAAUUUCUGGGAAACAUCCUCAACAGAAUUAUUUGAAGGUGUCGUACCGGAGAGUAACGGCACAGAGGCAGUGGCUUGUGGGGAAGAGGGUAAGUUUCAUUACUAAUUCUGCUCUUAAAAAGAGGGGUCUCUUUAGAAAAAGAGUUUAACUUA
rnacentral:lncRNA from 1 species